UCGAGUUGUUAAAAAACUCCCAACCCCUGUGAACUAUACCUGUAACUGUUGCUUCGGCGGGACUUCGCGCCCGCCGGGGGACCCAAACCUUCUGAAUUUUUUAUUUUAAGUAUCUUCUGAGUGGUAAAGAAAAUGAAUCA
rnacentral:misc_RNA from 1 species